UGAUAUAGAGAGGACUUUUUUCAACACAAAACCACUGUCAAGUGCUCAGAUAGAAUUCUGAUUUUUUUUUUCCUGACUCUCACAAGCAGACAUUUUUUUUCACUUCAUUCAUUCAACAAAUAUAUUUUUGAAUGCCAGACACAUCCCAGGCACUGUUCUAGGCACUGCAGUAAACAAAGCUGACUGAGUGAUAGAUGCAGAAAAUAACCCAGAGAAAAGAGAUAUUAUGACAUUGCAAGAGGAUGAUAUUUAUUAAGGGGUAACCAAGAAAAACCACUAUGCAAAGUUGACAAUUAUGCUGAUGCCUGAAGGAAGGAAGCAAACAAAGAAGGUUUCUCAUUCUGGCUAGAGAGAAAAUGGCUAUGUGAGGAUGCACUUUCCCCAUUUUACAGAUGAUCAAACUAAAAGCCAGGGAGUUUGAGUGAGUUAAGUGGCAGAAGACCUGGCAUGAAGACUUCUGAUUUGGUCUCACUGAGGUCCUCCACUCAUUUCUCAAGUCCUACGAGCAGUUCCAAGAUGCAGGAAAGGGGCAGGAGACUGGGCUGGACUCCAGGUCCUUUAGCAAAGUUCUUUUCCUAAAAUUCAUCUGAUCUCAGCUGUUAUAAAGGCAGAGAAUAGUUUUCCCAGUGACAUGAAGAAAAAGAGAGCAGCAGUGUCAGCAGAACGAAAAGAACCCCAAGGCCUGAAUACCUAU